rnacentral:rRNA from 1 species
AUUGAACGCUGGCGGCAGGCUUAACACAUGCAAGUCGAGCGGGGGAAGGUAGCUUGCUACCGGACCUAGCGGCGGACGGGUGAGUAAUGCUUAGGAAUCUGCCUAUUAGUGGGGGACAACAUCUCGAAAGGGAUGCUAAUACCGCAUACGUCCGACGGGGGAAAGCAGGGGAUCUUCGGACCUUGCGCUUAUAGAUGAGCCUAAGUCGGAUUAGCUAGUUGGUGGGGUAAAGGCCUACCAAGGCGACGAUCUGUAGGGGGUCUGAGAGGAUGAUCCGCCACACUGGGACUGAGACACGGCCCAGACUCCUACGGGAGGCAGCAGUGGGGAAUAUUGGACAAUGGGGGGAACCCUGAUCCAGCCAUGCCGCGUGUGUGAAGAAGGCCUUAUGGUUGUAAAGCACUUUAAGCGAGGAGGAGGCUACUCUAGUUAAUACCUAGGGAUAGUGGACGUUACUCGCAGAAUAAGCACCGGCUAACUCUGUGCCAGCAGCCGCCGUAA